UACGGAGGGUGCAAGCGUUGUUCGGAAUUACUGGGCGUAAAGCGCGCGUAGGCGGACCUGCAAGUCGGGGGUGAAAGCCCGAGGCUCAACCUCGGAACUGCCUUCGAUACUGCGGGUCUCGAGUCCGGGAGAGGUGAGUGGAAUUCCUAGUGUAGAGGUGAAAUUCGUAGAUAUUAGGAAGAACACCAGUGGCGAAGGCGGCUCACUGGCCCGGUACUGACGCUGAGGCGCGAAAGCGUGAGGAGCAAACAGG
rnacentral:rRNA from 1 species